rnacentral:rRNA from 1 species
UACGAGGGGUCCUAGCGUUGUUCGGAAUCAUUGGGCGUAAAGAGUAUGUAGGCGGCUAGAUAAGUCAGGUGUGAAAUCCCCGGGCUCAACCCGGGAAGUGCAUUUGAUACUGUCUAGCUUGAGUAUGGAAGAGGGUAGUGGAAUUCCUGGUGUAGUGGUGAAAUACGUAGAUAUCAGGAGGAAUACCGGUGGCGACGGCGGCUCCCUGGUCCUAUACUUACGCUGAGAUACGAAAGCAUGGGUAGCAAACAGG